UACGAGGGGUGCAAGCGUUAAUCGGAAUUACUGGGCGUAAAGCGCGCGUAGGCGGUUAGGUAAGUCGAUUGUGAAAUCCCCGGGCUCAACCUGGGAAUUGCAGUCGAGACUGUCUGACUAGAGUGUAGGAGAGGGUGGUGGAAUUCCCGGUGUAGCGGUGAAAUGCGUAGAUAUCGGGAGGAACAUCAGUGGCGAAGGCGACCGCCUGGCCUAACACUGACGCUGAGGUGCGAAAGCGUGGGUAGCAAACAGG
rnacentral:rRNA from 2 species